GUGGGGAAUAUUGGACAAUGGGGGGAACCCUGAUCCAGCCAUGCCGCGUGUGUGAAGAAGGCCUUUUGGUUGUAAAGCACUUUAAGCGAGGAGGAGGCUACCGAGAUUAAUACUCUUGGAUAGUGGACGUUACUCGCAGAAUAAGCACCGGCUAACUCUGUGCCAGCAGCCGCGGUAAUACAGAGGGUGCAAGCGUUAAUCGGAUUUACUGGGCGUAAAGCGCGCGUAGGUGGCCAAUUAAGUCAAAUGUGAAAUCCCCGAGCUUAACUUGGGAAUGGCAUUCGAUACUGGUUGGCUAGAGUAUGGGAGAGGAUGGUAGAAUUCCAGGUGUAGCGGUGAAAUGCGUAGAGAUCUGGAGGAAUACCGAUGGCGAAGGCAGCCAUCUGGCCUAAUACUGACACUGAGGUGCGAAAGCAUGGGGAGCAAACAGGAUUAGAUACCCGGGUAGUCC
rnacentral:rRNA from 1 species